UCGAGCGAAUAUAUAGGGAGCUUGCUCCCUGGAUUUAGCGGCGGACGGGUGAGUAACACGUGGGCAACCUACCUGUAAGACUGGGAUAACUUCGGGAAACCGGAGCUAAUACCGGAUAAUUUCUUUUCUCGCAUGAGAAAAGAUGGAAAGACGGUUUCGGCUGUCACUUACAGAUGGGCCCGCGGCGCAUUAGCUAGUUGGUGAGGUAACGGCUCACCAAGGCCACGAUGCGUAGCCGACCUGAGAGGGUGAUCGGCCACACUGGGACUGAGACACGGCCCAGACUCCUACGGGAGGCAGCAGUAGGGAAUCUUCCGCAAUGGACGAAAGUCUGACGGAGCAACGCCGCGUGAACGAAGAAGGCCUUCGGGUCGUAAAGUUCUGUUGUUAGGGAAGAACAAGUACCAGAGUAACUGCUGGUACCUUGACGGUACCUAACCAGAAAGCCACGGCUAACUACGUGCCAGCAGCCGCGGUAAUACGUAGGUGGCAAGCGUUGUCCGGAAUUAUUGGGCGUAAAGCGCGCGCAGGUGGUUCCUUAAGUCUGAUGUGAAAGCCCACGGCUCAACCGUGGAGGGUCAUUGGAAACUGGGGAACUUGAGUGCAGAAGAGGAAAGUGGAAUUCCACGUGUAGCGGUGAAAUGCGUAGAGAUGUGGAGGAACACCAGUGGCGAAGGCGACUUUCUGGUCUGUAACUGACACUGAGGCGCGAAAGCGUGGGGAGCGAACAGGAUUAGAUACCCUGGUAGUCCACGCCGUAAACGAUGAGUGCUAAGUGUUAGAGGGUUUCCGCCCUUUAGUGCUGCAGCUAACGCAUUAAGCACUCCGCCUGGGGAGUACGG
rnacentral:rRNA from 1 species